UUCCGGUUGAUCCUGCCGGACCUGACUGCUAUCGGAUUGAUACUAAGCCAUGCGAGUCAUUGUAGCAAUACAAGGCAGACGGCUCAGUAACGCGUAGUCAACCUACCCUGUGGACGGGGAUAACCUCGGGAAACUGAGAAUAAUACCCGAUAGAACAUUAUACCUGGAAUGGUUUAUGUUUCAAAUAAUUUAUUGCCGUAGGAUGGGACUGCGGCCUAUCAGUUUGUUGGUGAGGUAAUGGCCCACCAAGACUAUUACAGGUACGGGCUCUGAGAGGAGUAGCCCGGAGAUGGGUACUGAGACACGGACCCAGGCCCUAUGGGGCGCAGCAGGCGAGAAAACUUUGCAAUGUGCGAAAGCACGACAAGGUUAAUCCGAGUGAUUUCUGCUAAAGGAACCUUUUGUUAGUCAUAGAACCACUAAUGAAUAAGGGGUGGGCAAGUUCUGGUGUCAGCCGCCGCGGUAAAACCAGCACCUCAAGUGGUCAGGAUGAUUAUUGGGCCUAAAGCAUCCGUAGCCUGCUUUGUUAGUUUUCGGUUAAAUCCAUACGCUUAACGUAUGGGCUGCCGGAAAUACUGCAAAGCUAGGGAGUGGGAGAGGUAGACGGUACUCGGUAGGAAGGGGUAAAAUCCUUUGAUCUAUUGAUGACCACCUGUGGCGAAGGCGGUCUACCAGAACACGUCCGACGGUGAGGGAUGAAAGCUGGGGGAGCAAACCGGAUUAGAUACCCGGGUAGUCCCAGCUGUAAACUAUGCAAACUCGGUGAUGCAUUGGCUUGAUGCCAAUGCAGUGCCGCAGGGGAGCCGUUAAGUUUGCCGCCUGGGAAGUACGUACGCAAGUAUGAAACUUAAAGGAAUUGGCGGG
rnacentral:rRNA from 1 species